rnacentral:rRNA from 1 species
GAUGAACGCUGGCGGCGUGCCUAAUACAUGCAAGUCGAGCGAACAGAUGAGGAGCUUGCUCCUCUGACGUUAGCGGCGGACGGGUGAGUAACACGUGGAUAACCUACCUAUAAGACUGGGAUAACUUCGGGAAACCGGAGCUAAUACCGGAUAAUAUAUUGAACCGCAUGGUUCAAUAGUGAAAGACGGUUUUGCUGUCACUUAUAGAUGGAUCCGCGCCGCAUUAGCUAGUUGGUAAGGUAACGGCUUACCAAGGCAACGAUGCGUAGCCGACCUGAGAGGGUGAUCGGCCACACUGGAACUGAGACACGGUCCAGACUCCUACGGGAGGCAGCAGUAGGGAAUCUUCCGCAAUGGGCGAAAGCCUGACGGAGCAACGCCGCGUGAGUGAUGAAGGUCUUCGGAUCGUAAAACUCUGUUAUUAGGGAAGAACAAAUGUGUAAGUAACUAUGCACGUCUUGGCGGUACCUAAUCAGAAAGCCACGGCUAACUACGU